rnacentral:misc_RNA from 1 species
UAAUUGCCAUUCACAAUUAGUACGAAGAAGGAAGAUGUAAUAAAAAAGGAAAAAGAAGAAAUGCAAAAAUCCAGAUUGUUUAAAAUAAUUCCAGAUCCAAGCAUUGAGGACCCGUAUUCAGCCGAGUUGUGAGCUUACCGUAUCGCGUUUUUGUACAUACAUGGUUCAAUACCUUCAGGUCGGCAUCAUAGGGCAGAGUUUUGUCCCAGAGGUUUGGGCCGAGGAAGGCGGCCUGCGCUUCCACGUUGCCCCAUAGUUCUCCAUCGGCGUCCUUCUUCUCUUCCGGUCCAUCUUUGCCUUUGCUUCAAAUCAAUGGUUCAAAACCUCAGAGCUUUAAAGAUUCUGCGCUUCAAAGAUUCAGUUCUUCAAAGCUUCGAAGAUUCAAAAAUUCAGAUAUUUGAAAUUCAGAAAAUUCGGAAAAGUCAGAAAAAUUUUUAUAUUCCGCUAGCACUCAAAUUCUGC